AGCCGCGGUAAUACGAAGGGUGCAAGCGUUACUCGGAAUUACUGGGCGUAAAGCGCGCGUAGGCGGCUUUGUAAGUUAGAGGUGAAAGCCCGGAGCUCAACUCCGGAACUGCCUUUGAAACUAGGUAGCUAGAAUCUUGGAGAGGUCAGUGGAAUUCCGAGUGUAGAGGUGAAAUUCGUAGAUAUUCGGAAGAACACCAGUGGCGAAGGCGACUGACUGGACAAGUAUUGACGCUGAGGUGCGAAAGCGUGGGGAGCAAACA
rnacentral:rRNA from 1 species